UACGUAGGGGGCAAGCGUUAUCCGGAUUUACUGGGUGCAAAGGGAGCGUAGACGGUGUGGCAAGUCUGAUGUGAAAGGCAUGGGCUCAACCUGUGGACUGCAUUGGAAACUGUCAUACUUGAGUGCCGGAGGGGUAAGCGGAAUUCCUAGUGUAGCGGUGAAAUGCGUAGAUAUUAGGAGGAACACCAGUGGCGAAGGCGGCUUACUGGACGGUAACUGACGUUGAGGCUCGAAAGCGUGGGGAGCAAACAGG
rnacentral:rRNA from 1 species